AACGAACGCUGGCGGCAUGCCUAACACAUGCAAGUCGAACGAGACCUUCGGGUCUAGUGGCGCACGGGUGCGUAACGCAUGGGAACCUGCCCUUAGGUUCGGAAUAACUCCCCGAAAGGGGUGCUAAUACCGGAUAAUGUCUUCGGACCAAAGAUUUAUCGCCUUUGGAUGGGCCCGCGUUGGAUUAGCUAGUUGGUAGGGUAAAAGCCUACCAAGGCGACGAUCCAUAGCUGGUCUGAGAGGAUGAUCAGCCACACUGGGACUGAGACACGGCCCAGACUCCUACGGGAGGCAGCAGUGGGGAAUAUUGGACAAUGGGCGAAAGCCUGAUCCAGCAAUGCCGUGUGAGUGAUGAAGGCCUUAGGGUUGUAAAGCUCUUUUACCCGGGAUGAUAAUGACAGUACCGGGAGAAUAAGCUCCGGCUAACUCCGUG
rnacentral:rRNA from 1 species